UAAGGAAUAUUGCACAAUGGGGGAAACCCUGAUGCAGCAACGCCGCGUGGGCGACGAAGGUCUUCGGAUCGUAAAGCCCUUUUCUGAGGGAAGAGAGAGGACGGUACCUCAGGAAUAAGUCUCGGCUAACUACGUGCCAGCAGCCGCGGUAAAACGUAGGAGGCGAGCGUUAUCCGGAUUUACUGGGCGUAAAGCGCGUGCAGGCGGUCAGUUAAGUUAGGCGUGAAAUCUUUCGGCUUAACCGGGAGGGACGCAUAAUACUGGCUGACUUGAGGGUAGGAGAGGGAAGCGGAAUUCCCGGUGUAGCGGUAAUAUGCGCAGAUAUCGGGAGGAACACCGAGUGGCGAAGGCGGCUUCCUGGCCUGCUCCUGACGCUAAGACGCGAAAGCUAGGGGAGCGA
rnacentral:rRNA from 1 species